rnacentral:misc_RNA from 1 species
UAGAUGGUAAGCGAGUCAUGUGGG